rnacentral:rRNA from 1 species
UACGGAGGGUGCAAGCGUUGUCCGGAAUCACUGGGUGUAAAGGGCGCGUAGGCGGCUCAUGAAGGCUGUGGUGAAAGUCCGGGGCUCAACCUCGGAUCGGCCGUGGCGACUCGUGGGCUGGAGCACUGUAGAGGCGGGUGGAAUUCCGGGUGUAGCGGUGGAAUGCGUAGAGAUCCGGAAGAACACCAGUGGCGAAGGCGGCUCACUGGACCGGCAUUGACGCUGAGGUGCGAAAGCGUGGGGAGCAAACAGG